GUUGUCAGCCCCUACAGUGACAUUUUGGAUAUCUGUGUUGCAGCAAUUCGAGUAGCUUUGGAUGCAAUAGGUUUCCAUGACGUGUCUAUCAUGUCAUGUACUGCUAAGUAAUGAACUUGUGUUGGAUAGUCUCUUUUUUAUUUCUUCUAAAGAACCAUUGGGGACAUGUCCACUAAUUGGGAUAUUCUUCCUCCUCGAAAAAUCAAAGAUGUUAAUGCCAAAAAGGUUUGAGCUCAAGAUCUUAGCCAUGAGGUGUGAUUUCCUUCAAUUCAGUGCUUUUGCUAUAGUUGUCUUAUGAUACGUCGUCUUUCUGUUUGCAGCCCAAGGACCGGGAUGAUAGGGAGUAUAUCGAUCACCCUAAUAAUGUCAAAUAAGAGGUUGCUGGUAAUGAGAAUGACAUCACUGCAUUUCAGAUGGACAUAAAGGUCAAGACAAAUCAAAUUAACAGAACUCAGUUUCUUCAGGAGAUGCUUUAUUUCUUGUGCAUUGGAAAGACAGAAUCCUAGGUAUGUGGAUCCACUCAAUAUAACUACAAUGGCAUGUCCCGUACUACUGUUAUGCCCUCUGGCAAUAGCAGAAGCAGAGCGUGGAAUUCCUGACAUUCUCAAGCGGGUUCGAGUUGUAUUUGAUAAGGCAAGCCAUAAAGCUAUAUACUCAUGCACGUUUUUUUUUUCCUUUUUUUGUGUGUAAUUCAAAAUUGAACAGAAAAUAUGCAUCAAACCUGUUUUUC